AUGGGACACCUCUCCAUGAAGCAUCCUUGGAGUGGGCACAAAUGGGGCUUGGGGAUUGAUGGACACAUGGUGUUGCUAGGGCUGGGGGCUUUGAGGACACACGGAACAUCACUCCAUGGAGCACCUCUGGGGUGGGUGAAAAGGUUUUUUUGGGACAAACAGACACACGUUGGCUUGAGCUGCUGGGGCUUUUGUGGGGACGUGGGCCAUCUCCUCACGGAGCAUUUUGCAGUGAAUGGUGAGAAAGACGUUCAGGAGUCACUGACGCACCCCGUCCUCCCCAACCCACAGAAAAAAGGACCUCGGGUACCCCCCCCACCCCAUCGCCAUCCCCAUCGCCAUCCCCAUCGCCAUCCCCAUCGCCAUCCCCAUCGCCAUCCCCAUCGCCAUCCCCAUCGCCAUCCCCACCUCUGGCGUUGCCGCAGUCAAGCUUCAGCCAGACGAGCCAGCGCUUGCCAUGGGCGAGCGGCCGCUGCCGCAGGCUGGCCAGCGCCUCGGGGCGGUCCAGCAGCAUGUGGAAGGCAUCGAGGCGCUGCGCCAGCCCCGCGCACUCCUCCAGACGCGCGGUGGGCAGCGGGUAGGCCAGCAGGAUGUCAUCGAAGCCGCCGUCCGCGAAGAAACGCGCUUCGGCCAACGUGGAGACGGCGAUGCCGCGGCGCGUGCCUCCGGUGGCCAGCAAACCGCCCUCCCUUCAGGCGCCAUCCGUGGGGUGAGGUGAUAUCGGUGGGAACGAUGGGGACGUUGGGGACAAAGGGUGUGGGUGGCACUCACAGCGUCUUGUGGGUCUUGACGUGGGGCCGCAGGCGGACGCCCAGGGUCCGGCAGCGCUCCCGCAUGCGCUCAGCGUUGCGCCGUGCCGUGGCGCGGUCGACGGUCAGCGCCGGGGUGGGCAGCGCGUCCAGGCGGGCACCCAGCCACAUGGUUGCGCUUCUGGGGGCACUUUUGGGGGGGUUGUGGGGUGGCCGGCCCCCACGCUCAACCUGCAAGCUGAGGGAGUGGGGGUGGGGGUGCUGGGGGGUCCCGGUGGGAUGGGUGAGGCAGCUGGCAGUCUGGGAGCAGGGAUAUCUGGGACAAGGACAGCUGGAGCGUCUGCGUCACCUGGUUCAGGGGUACCUGGGUUUGGGAUACCAGGAGACAGAAGCAGCUGUGACAUUAGGAACAGGAACACCUAGGGACAGGGACACCUGGAAGAUCGAGAACAGGAACACUGGGGGAUAUGGACCUGCUAUGUUGGGACACCUGGGUUACCUGGGUCACCUGGGUGAGGGACACUUGGGACACUAA
rnacentral:lncRNA from 1 species